CUAACUUGUAUUGAUUUGUCGGACAACUUGUUGUCCUGGUGCAUCCCUGAAGAGCUAAACAACCUUCGUGGCCUUCGCUUUCUAAACCUAUCAAGAAACCAUCUGUCAUGCGACAUUCCUGAAGAUAUUGGUAGUUUAAAUAUUCUUGAGUGCCUAGAUCUAUCAUCUAAUGAACUUUCAGGAGCCAUUCCUUCGAGCAUCACGAGCAUAUCGGGGCUAGCCGCGUUCAAUGUAUCAAACAACUUUUUGUCAGGCAAGAUACCUAUUGGGAGUCAGACUCAGACCCUGACAGAUCAAUCGAUUUACUCCAACAAUUUUGGGCUUUGUGGGCUUCCUCUGGAUAUUCCAUGUGCAAAGACUUCACUUGUACCAGAGGAGACAAAUGGUGAAGGGGAGGACCUAUGGAUGUACUAUUUUGUGAUUGCUGGGAUUGUGUUUGGUUCCUGGAUAUGGUUUGGGAUGCUCUUUACAAUUAAGACAUGGAGAUGUGCUUUCCUCUUCUUUGUCGAUGGCAUGCAAUGUAAAAUUAUGAAGAAGGUGUCUCAUUAG
rnacentral:rRNA from 1 species